GAUUUAGUUUAGUAGUGGUUGUUCUCCCAGAACUGAGCCUGGAGCCAAUCAAUUGUCCCCUUUUCCACCUGGAAUGCCUUGGCCAACACAUCAUCCGAGAUUGGUGGCUUUGAUCCAAAGACCGCAUUAGCGAUGGUAAUAGCCCCAGGGUUUUGGCUGCUGAGCGCAGCGAGUGCAACCGCUGGCUUGUCGUGGAUGGGGUUGAACUGGAAGUGGAUGAGCCCUUCGGGGAAUACAAACACAUCACCCUUGUUGAGGACCUUAGCAAACAAUGUGUUGUUUGGGUUGGAGGUGACAAACCCAACAUAGAGGGUCCCCUCAAGCACUGUUAGGAUCUCAGUGGCACGUGGGUGGGUGUGUGGUGGAUUCUCACCUAGGGGUGCAUAGUCAAUGCGAGCUAGAGAGAUGCCUAGAGUGUUGAGACCAGGGAGCUGCAAGGCACUGAUCAAUGUGACAUUAGAUCCCACCUUGCUAUGCGCGGUGUUCCUAGGCUCGUCAAGUUUAGCUGCCUUGAAGAAGUCAUCUGCAUUCACGGCCAUGGGGUCCUUGCAAGCAAACCCAUUCACCUUCACUGUAGAAGCCAAAUAGAUACACAUAGAUCAGAAACUAGGUAGCGCAGAAGAUUAGAAGUUCACUGUAUGCAAAGAACGAAGAAGGAAAAUAGAAACAGGAAGACGUGCACUCUGACAGAAGAGCACUUGUUUUGAUUCGUGUUUACUACAUUAACAUCAAAACAUGCAUUAAACUAAGCCAGUGUUCAUGCAUAUACCAGGAGAGUGCUUGUCAGCUACACAGAAGUCCUGGAGUGGGCUAGGAUCGGAAGCAUUAGCCUGGCAAGCGACCAAUGCUAGAAAAACAGCAAGAAGGAAGUAGGAGGAGGGGGCCAUUUUUGUUUCUCCUCGUGCUUCUUUGUCGGUGCUUUUCGCAGUAGGCUAACCAGCUGCUUGUGUUUGUUUUCUUGAUGCUUUGGUGAGGAAGAAGGGGGAUGGAUGUGUUUAUAUAGCCACAGCACGGUAGCAUCGUGAACGCCUGAACAACUGAGUAAGUCACACGUUGAACCGGCCAACAGAAGAACUGGUCUCUGGUUGCUAGAACCUGCUGAUGGAACAACACAGCUACAUCAACCUUUGAAAGCUAUAUCGCUUUCAAUAUUUUGACACGCUACUACCAAAUCUGAUCAGGUCUCUUUGCUCCUGGCCAAAUAUAGAAAAAGUAUACCCGUUCCUUUCUGUGUUGAAUGGCAUAAAUAAGAUGGUUACCCUGAGUGGCACACAUUUCAAUUUGAUCAAUCUCGUACAUCAAAAUUCUAGGGAGCUAAGGAACAAACAAAAAACAAAGGGAGAUGUGGUCGAUCUCGGUCGGAGGUUGUGGAUGACAGGUGGGGGCCACCUGUCAGCGGUGGAGCGGAGGCAUGUGUGGGAGCGGGCUGGUGUUGACGGCAGUUAGCACGCCAAAUUGUGAACCGCAAGCGCACGGAUCAGUUAUAUCUUCUCCCUCAGAGAUUCCCCCAAGGUUUAUCAAUCCACGAAACAAGGGAUUUGAACGCCUAACCAUGCACUAAUCGAUGUAACCGAAAGCUUUUUAUAUAGGAUAUGAUUAUGCUAUCAAAAGAACUAAGCAAUCUAGAUUAAGAUGGAUAGAGAGUAAAGGUUGUGGACAAGAUAGAUUAAACGCUUGUCCUAGGGAUCUAGGAUCACUUGUAGAUGCAAUCGCCAUGAAUGAGCGAAUUAGAUCUAGGUGUUAUCGUGAGUGGUUGUGAACCAUGUCAAACACUUUCCCACCCGCAAUAAUGUUACUGCACAGGGAUACUCAACUAUCGGAACAUAAGAACACCUCAAGAUGAUUAUUCUAGGUAAGCAAAUAAGCAACCCAAAGUAGCGCUGGCCAACCUUUACAUGAAAGAGCAUCAUCAAGAUAUGAUUGAUAACAAAACAGAUCUUAAACAAAGGUUCGACAAUUACAAAUCAAGAUCUUCAUACAACCAAGAGGACAAACAGAGGUAUUUCCUACUUGUGGUGGUAGUGGAUGGUGUUUACAUGGUGAUUUUUCUCUCUUCUCCAACUCUCCUUCCUUGAAAUUCGUGAUGGGGUAUUUAUAGUCUCAAAUAGGAGGCGGCUCUGGGUCAAUGUCGGUGAAAAUACCCUCGAGAUCAUCGUAUACUAAAUACUAAAGAAACGGGAGGCCGACCGGAUCAUGGAAUGGGCCAGGCUGAUCGCCCUGGGCCCUUCCUAGCACUUAUAGUCCUCUCCUUCCUUGUGCUGUCUUCCCUCGACGACCCAUGUCCAAAUAUCCAUUAAUAUCCUUAUAUAAACCCCCUUGAUUAUGUCGUAUUUCCUGCCAAAAUACAAUAUGCUCCAAAACACAACCCAUAUGCAAUAAUAUGGUUAUUUGAGGUGCCAAGUAGCGGGUUAGUAUAAGAAUAAGCAGGAAAACACUAGUUCAAUAGCACUAAAAGUGUAUCAAUAAUGAGCGUGAACAGCUGGCGCGGAGGAAAACGGUCCGAGGCAAGCUGGGCCAGCGGCCGGCGAGCUGGGCCAACAGAGGUGAGGCCAGCGGCCUGCUGCUGCAGCAGCUGAAAGAGGGCCCAGGCCGAAGGAAGAUGAAGGCCAGGUGGAAGAAGAACAAGAAAACAAAGAAAAAGAAGAAACUUUGCUAUUUUCAAACAGAUUCAAACAAAAUGAAUUCAAAUCUGAAAUUUGAACUCAGCAACCCAGCAACCAAAAUCAAUGCACUAGCAUGAAUGCAACAAUGCAAACCUAAGAUUCAUUAAUUAAAUUUCUGGAAAACAUUUUAAUGCCUAAGAAAUUGAAUAAAAUCUUAGAAAAGCCUUAAAUACUUAAACAAGCUCAAACAAAUUCUAGAAAAUUGUAAUAAAUUUUUAUUCAAUUGCAAAAUUGAAAAUUUAGGGUGUUACAAAUCUUGUAUGUACGGAAAAUGUAAACAGUAUAAAAAACAUCAGCAUAAUGGUGUGAAACCACCAGUUAUGCAUGAUCACAUAAAUUGUAUUAAACUAGUUUUACCAACAUUUACUUGGUCGCCAUUGUGUUGGAGUGGUAACUUGCAAGUUAAACAAGUAAUAUAAGUCCUCCAUCAAUACCAGAUCCUCCAUCAAGUUAAACUACGUGGUCUGCCUGGUCACCUUCUUGACUUUGUUCGUAUCACACAUACCCUCCGCUCCUCAGGCAGGAAGCAAGCAGCUGCACAAAUGAGAAAUGGUAUUUAGUUAGGCGAAGCAUGUGGCUGCGUGACACUGUGGUGUAUGUAAAACGAUACACGUCAUGCAUCAUACACUCAACUAACAAAUUUGACGUCUUCUCUUUGCUCUUAUCAAAAGAAAAGUAUGGCUUUCUUUUCUUUUUGCUAUUGGGAUGCAGGGUCCAAGAUGGUUACCUUUUGCAAAAAUAAAUUUUAAAUUAGGGAAUAGUGUAAAUUAGGGAGUUUCCCAGUAAUCAACAAAGUGCUCAAGAUUCUCAUGAAAAGUUUUAGAUCUAGUAAGCGAUGCCUUGUGUCUAGUGGCUAGAAGAACUUCGAGUCCACAAACUUUGGCUAAAUAUUACAAAAGAAUAUUGGAAGCAGGAGCAUAAAAAUUAUUGUACCUAGAUUGCAAGCAUGAGCAUAAAAAGUUAGGUACCACACUAGAAAUGCUGCAAUGGAUAGAAAAACAUCAUGUGUUUGAUAAGGGAUUUGAGGGAUAUUGAAUAUUGUAAAGAACAUGCUUCCUGAGAAUUAUGAAUUGCCAUCCACAGCAUAUGAAGCUAAACAAGUUGUUUGCCCUUUGGGAUUGGAGGUUCAAAAGAUACAUGCAUGCCCUAGUUGUAUCCUCUAUCGUGGUGAUGAAUACGAGAAAUUGGAUGCUUGUCUUAUGCGUGGAGCACUGCGGUAUAAGAUCAUGCGAGAUGAUCCUGGUGAUGUUGAGAGGCAGUCUCCCAACAAGAGAGUCCCGCGAACAUGAUGUUGUAUUUCCCUAUAAUACCAUGUUUCCUGAGGCUUUGAUUGAUAUUGUAAAAACCUGGGGCUUCUGUUUUUGCACGCUUUGCGUGAUAUUGUAAAAGCCUUUUUUAGCUCAAUGAAAGCUUUCAUCGUUAUAUGUUUCCUGUGCCUAUCGUGCCGUGGAGGCGGGUUAUCGUUGGGACUUUGGCAUUUUCCCCCUUUGUGUGCUGCGUACAGGGGCGGAUCGGGGGGGGGGGGGCUACGGGGGCUGCAGCCCUCCCAAGAGCCUGAUUUUACCUAUAAAAUACUGUAGAUAAAGUCUCAAAUCACCAUUAAUUUCUAGUUCUAGCCCUUAAUCUUUACUAUUUAGCCCCCCGAGAUGUUCAUCCUGGUUCUGCCCCUGGCUGCGUAGAGUAGCCAAGUAGGAUCAGGUGCCUAACCCCAAGUAGGAUUAUAUGACUGAGGCCUGGACAAUGCACUUAGGCGCCCUGAUGACUCAAUUCCCUUGAAGUCUCCUCAGAAAGCUCUCCCAUCGUGGAGGCCCGGGGGCUCGUCGACUGGAUGUAUAUAGGACGCAUAGCGGUCCUAAAUAAGUAUAAUUAAAUCAUGUGUCUUACAUAGGGCGCUCAGCGCCCUGGUGAAGGCCCAUCAAAUGGCCAGAAAUAGUGGUUACAUAUUACCAGCGCAAUAGUGGUUACAUAGAUUUUUUUGAGUCAGAAAAUGAAUUCCUACACAAUAGUGGUUACAUAUUACCAGCGCAUUAAAAUGGCUAAUGUAGCAUUAAAAUUUGUGAAGAUAUAAAGACAUAAUCACACAUAUGGUAAAAGAUAAUGGCUAAUUGGUGGAUCGAUCGCAAAGGAAAUUGAGGCGCACCAUUCAAGCCAUGCAUGGACUCAUAUGUACGGAAGAGUUGACAGUGCCGAUAAUGACAUUAACAUUACACUGCACCUAACCCAAAGUAACAAACAUUCAAACACAUUAGUCACUAAACACAUAUAAUAUUAGUGUUCCCAAGUUGUCUCUCAUGCUUAAUUCGGUCUUACGCAUCGGAUGAUGCAAUUGGUCACCAACAGCAGGAAACCCACAGCAGCGUUAACUACUAUACCAUUAUUUCCUCACGGUCAUGAACUUCGAAGUGUAUGUGCCUGACGACAAGGGGAUGCUGGCCAGCGAUCAUGCGCUGUUCUUGAGCCCAGAGUUGUUGUCGUUCGUGGUGUGCCGGUCCCAGAUGGUCGGUUGCAAGAGCAACUACUACAUCUAUUCGUUGGUUGUUCACGCAUCGACGACGCCCAGAGAAGCUAGGGUGUGUACUGCAUGGAGGAAGGCCAGGGAGAUUCUACUUGACCAGGGCCUCAGACCUUUACUGGGCCUGGAAAACGCUGCGCGGCACAUAUGCUUUGCUAUCCCUAGAGCUAGGGCAUGUACAAUAACUUGUUUCAUUCAAAAGUCAAAAGUUGCAGGUUCAUUAUAAACUCACAUGCUACAACAUUUAUUUUCAUAGAUAAAACCGGGUCCAUAAGUUAAUUUUAUAUAAGCUUCCCGUACAUGAAUAUAUGUAUCCCAAACAGGACAGUACAUCUCGUAGGCACACAGCAACAGUAGCAGUAUAUAAAUACUGCCAUUUAUUUUACAUAACUUUCAGAUUGUAGAAACUAGAAACAAGUAGUUGUUUGCAAAAUGCAUGUCAACCAAACUUUCCAUACAAAGAAACCCGUGCUUGAUUUAGUUUAGUAGUGGUUGUUCUCCCAGAACUGAGCCUGGAGCCAAUCAAUUGUCCCCUUUUCCACCUGGAAUGCCUUGGCCAACACAUCAUCCGAGAUUGGUGGCUUUGAUCCAAAGACCGCAUUAGCGAUGGUAAUAGCCCCAGGGUUUUGGCUGCUGAGCGCAGCGAGUGCAACCGCUGGCUUGUCGUGGAUGGGGUUGAAC
rnacentral:lncRNA from 1 species